rnacentral:sRNA from 1 species
GCUGGGUGUAGUGGCACACACCUGUAAUCCAGUGGCUUGGGAGGCUGAGGCAAGAGGAUCACAAGUUCAAAGCCAGCCUCAGCAAAAGCAAGGCACUAAGCAAUUCAGUGAGACCCUGUCUCUA